GAUCACAUUUAGGGUUUUCUUGUCAAAGAUCCUGGAGUGGUUUGAUAUCCCCUUUUCCAUCUUGAGUGAUGAGCAAACUGACUUGCCCAGGGUCAUGUAACUAGAAAACUGAAAAUGCAUCGCCUAUGUAUGAGUCACAAAACUGGUUUCAUCAACAUUCAAUCAUAUGAAGAUUUGGUGAUGAAAAAAAAUUAUAAAGAGAUAUUGGAGUGGUUUGCCAUUUCCUACUCCAGCUCAUCUUACAGAUGAAGAAACUCAGGCAACAGUGUUGAGUGACUUGCCCAGGAUUACACAGAUAAGAUUGAUUCUGGAGAUCCCUGCCUUGGUUUGGAGGAGACUUUUCCCCUGGAUUCAACAUCAGCUUGCUGCAUUGGUGGAAUUCUGGCUGAAGACACAACUAGAACUUCUGGUGGAAGAAUCACAAUUUAUACCUGGAGAAGAUGCACUGUGCUCUGCCUAUACUAUCUAGCUGAUGAAGUUAAUGGGAGUUUGGCUCACUGAGAAUGACAGACUUUUACCUGGGGGGUGGAAAGAAAAUCAAAUAUGACAAAAGUGGACAAUAGCAAUUAUUGGAAGAGAUGAGAGAGAGCAGAUACAGUAAAGCAUUGUUUGUUGACUUGUGAACAGGAACGGCCUCUCUAAAAAGCAAUUUGUAACUAAACCUCAAAAGUAACUAAUUUGUAUGUACUGUUUGAUUUGGUGAUACUACUACUAGAUCUGUAUUACAAAGAAAGAGAAAAUAUAUACAUAUUUCAUUUUCUUCAUAUUUAUACUUUUUGUUAUAG
rnacentral:lncRNA from 1 species